ACAUAGAAAUAAAUAUUAUAGUUAGUUUCGACCUAAAAUUAGGGUUAUAUAUUACCCCAUGUU
rnacentral:tRNA from 1 species